UACGUAGGCGGAAAAUUAAGUCAGUAGUGAAAUCCUGCAGCUUAACUGUAGAACUGUUAUUGAUACUGGUUUUCUUGAAUAUAGUUGAGGUAGGCGGAAUGUGUAAUGUAGCGGUGAAAUGCUUAGAUAUUACACAGAACACCGAUUGCGAAGGCAGCUUACUAAGCUAUGAUUGACGCUGAGGUACGAAAGCGUGGGGAGCGAACAGGAUUAGAUACCCUGGUAUUC
rnacentral:rRNA from 1 species